GAAGAGAAAAUGCCAGACUUUCGGUUAAAUGGAGGGUUUUUGUGGUAAAAAUGCGUGGCUGUCAGGUUAAAGUGGGGAUUCUCGAAGAGAAAAUGUAUGAUUUCUGGAUUGAAUGCUUUUUUUUUUCCUUUAGAGAAAAGUGGUGAUUUUUGAUUGUGUAUUUUUCCAAGAGAAAAUGCAUGGUUUUUGGAUUAAAUGGGGGAUUUUUUGAAAAGAAAAUGCGUGACUUUCGGGUUAGAUCAGGGAUUCUUGAAGAGAAAAUGCAUGAUUUUCGUUUACCUGAUUUUGGGGUCAAAUGGGGUAUUUUUUGGAGAGAUACUGCUAAUUCCCUCAAAGUUUCCACAAACAGCCCUUAACACCGUGUAGUGCUAUUGUUCAGUUAUAAGCACUUGGAAGCAGAUCUCACAGAAGCCCGUUCACCUUCCUUUACACGCUUCCCCGCAAUCAGAACACAUAAAUGGGCUGACACUCACUCCCUGAAUGGAACACAUCUCACUCACAGCACACUCACUCUGACAUUUAGAACAAAAACCAUGGUUUAUACAUCAUACUCAGUGUUGAUGAUGUCCUUUAGCUGGAAUCAUAACACCACUAGUACAUUAGUCGAUCAGUUGCAAGCUUUAAGAUUUUUCCCACAGUCAGCAUGACCUGAAAUCAUAGAAUCAUAGAAUCAUAGAAUCGCUAAGGUUGGAAAAGACCCACAGGAUCAUCCAGUCCAACCAUCCGCCCUUCAUCAAUGGUUCUCCCUAAACCAUGUCCCUCAACACAACAUCCAAACACUCUUUAAACACCACCAGGCUCGGUGACUCCACUACCUCUCUGGGCAGCCCAUUCCAGUGCCUGACCACCCUUUCAGAGAAGUAGUAUUUCCUAACGUCCAGCCUGAACCUUCCCUGACGCAGCUUGAAGCCAUUCCCUCUCGUCCUAUCACUAGUCACCCGGGAGAAGAGGCUGACCCCCAGCUCACCACAACCUCCCUUCAGGUAGUUAUAGAGAGCAGUAAGGUCUCCCCUGAGCCUCCUCUUCUCUAGACUGAACAACCCUAGCUCCUUCAGCCGCUCUUCAUAAGGUCUGUGCUCCAGACCCCUCACCAG
ensembl:lncRNA